CGGAGGACGGGAGGCGGCUCCCGGCCCGGGGGGGAGGAACUACAAGUCCCGUGAAGCCGCGCCGCCCGCCCGCCCGCGGGGAUAUAUAAGGGGGGGAAUGGCCCGGCCCCGCAGUCGGAGCAUCCCUGCCUGCCGAGGCGCCGGUCCCGGCCCGCAGCCACCUGCGCGCCCGCUCCGGCGCUGGUACCCGGCUCCGCGCCGGUGGCUAUGGAGGAUGCGGGUGAUGAUGCCGCUCGCGGAGCCUCAGGGAUGCGGGGGGAAGCGCCGUUGCCCACCGGAGGGUCUAUGCUGAAGGCUCAGGGUGCAGUGACCUGAGAGGAGACAGCCAGGAUGCUACAGCACCGAUUGUGACCACAGAGCCCAGGAGCACCCUCCUGAGGAUGGGUGCUUCAGCUGCAAGCAUGGAGACAGGGAGAGCAGGGACCAGCAGGUCGCCCUGAGCUCACCAAGGAGUGAUGGAGCACUCAGGACUGUGGUGAGCUCCUUCAUCGAGGACCCACCACCAAAACCAGCUGCCCCUGGACUCACUGGGCUCCACGUUCCCUGGAGCUGACCUUGCUCCCGACUCCCAUGCAGAGCCAAAAGGACUUUAAUAGCUGCUCUCCUUUGGGAUUUGGAAAUCAUUCUUCUGGCUGGGAAGUGCUGGUGAUGGAUGGGGAAGUGCUCUUGGGUCACACAGUAGCUGGAUGCUUUCCUCUGAGGAUGACCAAGUGCUUGCCCGGUUCCAAAGAACCAACUGUGGAUUCUUUCUCUUCUUUUACCCAUCUGCUCUUCUUUUUGAUGCCUUUUGGCUCUUUGUGAGGAUGCCUGGACCCAGCCUGCAGCACGUGGCAUUCACAAUGCCUGCGGUGGGAACUGGAGGGGUGAAAGCCUUUGCAAGAGCCAUGGGGCAGAAGCUGAGCUGAUCGCAGUGCAUGGGGUUCAAAUCUGUUUGGCAGAGCCUCAUCUUGUGCCACAGCUGUUGGGUGGCCUCAGGGAGGGUCCUUCUGCCGCAGCCAGCCAAGCACCCUCAGCCCUGGCACAUCCCAUGUGGAGAGAGCAGGGAAAACAUCCAGAUGGGGGAAAAUGUCACCCUCAAACAAUUAAACCCCUCAAUAAAACCCAUUGCCUCUGUGA